rnacentral:rRNA from 1 species
CACUCCUGCGGGAGGCAGCAGUGGGGAAUUUUGGACAAUGGGCGAAAGCCUGAUCCAGCAAUGCCGCGUGAGUGAAGAAGGCCUUCGGGUUGUAAAGCUCUUUUGUCAGGGAAGAAACGGUGAAAGCUAAUAUCUUUUGCUAAUGACGGUACCUGAAGAAUAAGCACCGGCUAACUACGUGCCAGCAGCCGCGGUAAUACGUAGGGUGCAAGCGUUAAUCGGAAUUACUGGGCGUAAAGCGUGCGCAGGCGGUUUUGUAAGUCUGAUGUGAAAUCCCCGGGCUCAACCUGGGAAUUGCAUUGGAGACUGCAAGGCUAGAAUCUGGCAGAGGGGGGUAGAAUUCCACGUGUAGCAGUGAAAUGCGUAGAUAUGUGGAGGAACACCGAUGGCGAAGGCAGCCCCCUGGGUCAAGAUUGACGCUCAUGCACGAAAGCGUGGGGAGCAAACAGGAUUAGAAACCCGGGUAGUCCCA